UCGGGGUGCUUAACACAUGCAAGUCGAACGGGUGAAGCAGAGCUUGCUCUGUGGAUCAGUGGCGAACGGGUGAGUAACACGUGAGCAAUCUGCCCCUGACUCUGGGAUAAGCGCUGGAAACGGCGUCUAAUACCGGAUACGAGCUGCGAUCGCAUGGUCAGUAGCUGGAAAGAAUUUCGGUCAGGGAUGAGCUCGCGGCCUAUCAGCUUGUUGGUGAGGUAAUGGCUCACCAAGGCGUCGACGGGUAGCCGGCCUGAGAGGGUGACCGGCCACACUGGGACUGAGACACGGCCCAGACUCCUACGGGAGGCAGCAGUGGGGAAUAUUGCACAAUGGGCGGAAGCCUGAUGCAGCAACGCCGCGUGAGGGAUGACGGCCUUCGGGUUGUAAACCUCUUUUAGCAGGGAAGAAGCGAAAGUGACGGUACCUGCAGAAAAAGCGCCGGCUAACUACGUGCCAGCAGCCGCGGUAAUACGUAGGGCGCAAGCGUUAUCCGGAAUUAUUGGGCGUAAAGAGCUCGUAGGCGGUCUGUCGCGUCUGCUGUGAAAACCCGAGGCUCAACCUCGGGCCUGCAGUGGGUACGGGCAGACUAGAGUGCGGUAGGGGAGAUUGGAAUUCCUGGUGUAGCGGUGGAAUGCGCAGAUAUCAGGAGGAACACCGAUGGCGAAGGCAGAUCUCUGGGCCGUAACUGACGCUGAGGAGCGAAAGGGUGGGGAGCAAACAGGCUUAGAUACCCUGGUAGUCCACCCCGUAAACGUUGGGAACUAGUUGUGGGGUCCAUUCCACGGAUUCCGUGACGCAGCUAACGCAUUAAGUUCCCCGCCUGGGGAGUACGGCCGCAAGGCUAAAACUCAAAGGAAUUGACGGGGACCCGCACAAGCGGCGGAGCAUGCGGAUUAAUUCGAUGCAACGCGAAGAACCUUACCAAGGCUUGACAUAUAGAGGAAACGGCUGGAAACAGUCGCCCCGCAAGGUCUCUAUACAGGUGGUGCAUGGUUGUCGUCAGCUCGUGUCGUGAGAUGUUGGGUUAAGUCCCGCAA
rnacentral:rRNA from 1 species